CAGGGAUGCCGGAAAAUUACCCAAAACACCCACUGAUACAAGAUCGGAACCUUGAAUAACAGGAAAGUUCCGAUUAUCCGCUCAACAUUCAUUGAAACAUCUCCAAACAGUAUCUCUCGCCGGUAACCAUAAAAAAAACUUCAGCAAAAGCUUCGAACAGGAUCGAUAACACGCAACCGAGAAGGAUCCGAAUAUCAUCUGGCUCUGAUACCAUGAAAACCUGAAGAUUAAGCUAAAGAACAUGAAAAAUAUAGUGAGAGAAGAAGAGAGAGAAACGAGGUAGGUGAAGGAACUCUCUGGAAGAAGGCAGAGAAAAA
rnacentral:lncRNA from 1 species